AGUUAAAAGUAUAAAGAUAACAAAGAAUAACAUUUUUAUUUUGUGCAAACGUCAAAUUUGAUGGUUUGCAAAUUCGGUCAAAUGAGAGUUGUCACUUUCCACCGCCAUAUUGUAAAAAUAUCUCAGUGUUGUCUCUGGAAACUUGACGAAUUUCUCCCCAUUAAUUAAUUACUAAUCGAUUAAUUAAUGUUAUUCGCCACGUGUGUGUCUCCACACCCCGUUUCGUCGCCCCUCCAAACCCCCGAGACCGUUUCCUAACAUUGCAAGUGAGACCAAAAAUGGAGCAAGAGAACCAGCAUCCAGAGGGACCCCCACGAAAGAAAGCCCGAUUUCACGUCGGCCAAAACUUGACUUCACUACCAUACGAUAUUUUAGUAAAUAUUUUCAAACAUUUGGACCUCAAAACCAUCGGAGUUUGUGCUACAUUGUGUUCAACUUUUAAUAAUGUAUCCAAGGACAGCUCGCUGUACCAAAAAGUGACCCUAAAGUACAACAUGAACAAAGAAUUUCUAGAAUCGUUUGUUUCUAAGAUUUCAUAUCCCAAAGAACUGUGUAUAGAGUAUAAAUAUUUUGAUAACCAUUCUGAUAAUGAAGACUACUCAGAGUUCGAUAAAUACGUCCGAAUCGCCCUCACCAAGUGCGGCGAGUAUGUGCAAUCCCUCAAAAUCGACAGCUGUCGCAACGACGACAUCCUCCUCCUCCUCUCCGAAUGCACAAACCUCAAAGAACUCACCCUUUACCGCUGCAAGAGCUCUUUCCAAACCCUCACCUCUAUAUCAACCCUCAAAACCAUCAAAUGCAUUUCGUGUCAUUUCCCCCAAAAAAUCGCAAGCGAAGUCAUCAAAAACAACCCCACCCUCCGGAAACUACACUUAUCCGAUAACACGAAUGUCAACGUGAACGAAAUUUGCGAAAACCUCUCGCGAUCGAAUGAGCAAAUGCGCGAAAUUUAUUUCAGCGAGCGAAAGAAACUCCGCGCGAAAAGCCUGAGGACGUUGGGUCGCUUGACGAAACUCAGGAGUCUGGCGUUGGUCUCGGGGACGGGGUUUGAGUGUGAUCCCGAGGAUUCGCUCGAACAGAUCGCAGCAGGGUGCUCAAAAUUGGAGAGACUUAUCAUCUAUGGGUGGAAAGAGAUAAAUGAUGAUAAUUUAGUCCCCAUUUUGCACAUGUGUACACAAUUAAGAGAGUUGGAUCUCAGAGGGUUGAAUAUUACGAUUAGGAGUUGUCGAGAGGCAGCGCUUGCGUUACCCUUUCUUAGGCUAAUGGACGUGAUCAAAUGUCAUCGGGUCAAAAAGUCACAGCUCGCCAAACUUAAACAGGAUUUCUCAGAAAUCGAUAUUCCGUUAGAAUAAUCCAUUUUUUGCUUUUACAUUUUAUAUUUAUUGAUAGCAUUUUCAUUUGUUGUUUAUUUCAUUUAAUUUAAGUUGGUGUUAAAAGUGGGACGUUUCAUUUGGCCACGCCUCCCAUUGACACGCCCACUUUUUAUUGUAUUAAACCCAAGUGUUGCAAACAGAUCGAUGCAGCCGCCGCCUUGGCCUCCUUUUUAUUGGGACUGGCGACAUUUGGCUUAUACUCAACCCCAUUUAACGUCACCUGAAACAUAAGCAACGGUUGACACGCCCCCUUCUUGUCUCCCURACCUUAAAUAGGAAAUUUUUCUUAUGGUCAGGUCCACACUCGAAACACAAAUCAUACUGUGGCGCCCCCAGUUUCUUCUUAGACGCGUAUUCCCCCAAAAGUGAUACAGGGUGUUUAUUUUGUAGCGUGUAAGUAUUCCACUGGGCUUGUCCUUGUUUCUUCUUCUUCUUCUGCUCUUCAUUGGCUACUAGCCCCUUCUUGUCUAGCUUAACCUCCAGGAGGAGGGGCUCCAAAGCCCCUGUUUUCUCCUUCCCUAAACCUUCGCCCGGRUUCCAGCCCAUUUUCUGGAGGAGGUGCAUUCCCAUCCCUCCCGAAACGGGCGUGGCCGUCGUCAGUUGAUCCUAGACAAGAUCUACGUCUCACUAUCCUUCUCACUCAAAAAUCCUCCUCAAUAAACAACUACUCACCGACAUACGUUACAUUACCCCCACUUACCACAAACGAACGUUACCGAAGACACGCGACCUCCGCACGGCCAACCUUGAUUUACUAGUAACCUGACACAAGCCUGAAACAAAUUCUCAGGUGGCGAAAUAUUCCGGACGUGACGCCAUAUUYMAAAAAUGGCGACAUGUCCGGUACAACAGGCACAGAUUCCAUCUCUUUUUGAAAGGAAAGAAAUGGUCUGUGCCUGAAUGCCGACCGGAUUUGGAUCAACAGAUCCGGACCUGAAAAUUUGUUUAAGGCAUUCGGGGGAAUUUAGGACCGGACUCAGGGGGGUAAAUUGUACCUUUUUAGCCCACGCUUGGUAACCUGAUGAUAAUUCCGCUUGGGACAAAACUUGGGCACCUGUACUACCCGUGAAUUGACCCGGUUGUUGCUUACUUUGAGCCCACGAUUGCAUCUAUAACGAAUUUUUCACACGAAUUGCAUACAACAUAUUUUCUACUACCUCUUUAUUCGACUUGUACAUCUGAGUUAAAGCUUGGACGUCGUUUGGGUUCUCUUGUAAUUUACGAAUCGCGGUGAGCCGUUGCGAAACAAUUGAACCAAUAUCCACAGCCGUCUAUAAUUACAAUAUUACAAUAAUUUUUUUUUGAUAAGUUUGGCACUUACGGGGUCUGAAUUUGGUAGGGGGAAUAUUUGGGGUCCUGGAACCUCUUUGGGUUCUUUAGGCGGAGCCUCAACCGGCUUAGGUACCACUUCCGGUUUUUUUGGCGACACAGGAACCCACUCACUUUCCGUUUUCCGGUGCAAUUGUCCACUACUUACAGGAAAUUGUAAUCUCAACUCACUUGUCCGUUCCUGUGUCGACUUGAUCGGCAACGGAACCGAAUUCUGCAACCAAAAAAAAWUAAUCGAAGCCACGCCCACCAAACUCCACCCACUUUAAUAUUCAUCGUAAUGGAAGUAGGCCGAUCUUUYAUCUGAAACGGAUGAUGAAACGGCUUAUCAUUAUCACUAUCACUCCCUCCUCCCUCCGAAUUACUCGACAACUCCCCCAAAGCCUCCUGUUUCGAUAAAGUUUUACAGAAAUCUGUAAGUUCUUCGAUUGUUUUCCCGCCGGCUUUGAUCGCGGCGAUCACUUUUUCUUGUGCCUGGGGGCCGAGAGUAAGGGCUCCGGGUAAGCUCCCGGACUUCAUCAUUUGAAUGGCAUUCUUCCGGGCGAUUUCUAGCAGUUUCUUUUUGUCGAUAUGGGAGGAGUCACGRGAGGAGGAGCGAUCGCGUCGUGGGCGGUCCCGUCUGUAGCGGUCACGCCCCCAAAAAUCGUCGUCUUUGUAGAAUGGGUUGUCGCGACCGUUUCGUCUCUCGCGGCUUCGGACACGCCUAUCGCGACUGCGACUGCGACUACGACUCCGCCUACGAUUCUCAUGACUGCCUUUGAUUUUGUUCCUCAAGUCGUCGAUUUUCAAUUGAAGCUCUUUUUCCUCGCUCAAUUUCGAUCUAAUUUCUUCCUUCUUCUUUUUUCGGUCCUUAUCGUGGUGAUCGCUUUUAUGUUUACGUUUCUUCGAUUUCUUCUCGUCGUUUGAGUCGCURUGGACUUCCCCUUCUUCCAGUUUCUUCGCUUUCUUCUCACUUUCUUUCUUGGUGUCGACUUUCUCCUGUUUUAUGGCAAGAUUGAGACUCAAGUCGGUCCCUUCAAUGCGAAUUUUUUGCUCCGAGGAUUCUUUCUCUUGUUUGAUCAAAAUUUCGGCCAAAUCAAUCUCAGACUUGUCACUGGAGGAACUUUCGUGUUUCUUCUUCUUAUCUUUCUUUUUGUGUUUCUUGUCUUUGUGUUUGUGUUUCUUUUUACUUUUUUUGCUUUUUUUACUAGGAGGCGAGUCAGAUUUCUCCUUUUUUAUUAUUAGAGGGGGCUCAGCGUCGAAACUUUCAAACAGUUCGGAGAGAAUCUCCAUUGAAGACUUCACAGGGGCGUCGAUGACCGGCUUCUGGUCCUCCGACGCCAUUAUCACACCAAAUCAUCAAAAAUCCCAUAAACAACACUCACUUAAGUCAAAAAACACCCAAAACACGUUUUUGUUGUUAAACAAUUUCGUAGUGUCAACUGUCAAAAUUGCCAGGACAAGGCCACCAACCCACUUCAAAUUCACCGAAUUUAAUCAAAUUUUGCAAAUUUGACUAUUUAUUUAAUUUUUUUACUAUUUAUUUACAUUUAUCACAACUCGAAUUGRGCUAUUAUUGUACAAUUAACCGUGCCUGUAUUUUUAAUGGCUAAAAUUGMCUU